AACGAACGCUGGCGGCGUGCCUAACACAUGCAAGUCGAACGUGAUUGGAAGCUUGCUUCCAUGAAAGCGGCGCACGGGUGAGCAACGCGUAGAUAAUCUACCUGAUGAUCCGGGAUAACACUUCGAAAGGGGUGCUAAUACCUGAUAAGCCCACGGAGUCCUUGGACUUUGCGGGAAAAGGGGGGGACCGUAAGGCCUUCCGUCAUCAGAUGAGUCUGCGUACCAUUAGCUAGUUGGUAGGGUAAAGGCCUACCAAGGCGACGAUGGUUAGCUGGUCUGAGAUGAUGAUCAGCCACACUGGAACUGAGACACGGUCCAGACUACUACGGGAGGCAGCAGUGGGGAAUUUUGCGCAAUGGGGGAAACCCUGACGCAGCAACGCCGCGUGAGUGAUGAAGGCCCUUGGGUCGUAAAGCUCUGACAGAGGGAAAGAAGUGCAGGGUGGCUAAUAUCCAUCUUGCUUGACAGUACCCUCAAAGGAAGCACCGGCUAACUCCGUGCCAGCCGCCGCGGUAACAC
rnacentral:rRNA from 1 species